UACGGGGGGGGCAAGCGUUGUUCGGAAUUACUGGGCGUAAAGAGCUCGUAGGUGGCCAACUACGUCAGACGUGAAAUCCCUCGGCUUAACCGGGGAACUGCGUCUGAUACUGGAUGGCUUGAGUUUGGGAGAGGGACGCGGAAUUCCAGGUGUAGCGGUGAAAUGCGUAGAUAUUCGCAAGAACACCAGUGGCGAAGGCGGCUCACUGGCCCGAUACUGACGCUGAGGUGCGAAAGCGUGGGGAGCAAACAGG
rnacentral:rRNA from 1 species